rnacentral:rRNA from 1 species
CCUACGGGAGGCAGCAGUGGGGAAUAUUGGGCAAUGGGCGCAAGCCUGACCCAGCAACGCCGCGUGAAGGAAGAAGGCUUUCGGGUUGUAAACUUCUUUUCUGAGGGACGAAGAAAGUGACGGUACCUCAGGAAUAAGCCACGGCGAACUACGUGACAGCAGCCGCGGUAAUACGUAGGUGGCAAGCGUUAUCCGGAUUUAUUGGGUGUAAAGGGCGUGUAGGCGGGAAAGCAAGUCAGAUGUGAAAACGCAGGGCUCAACCCUGAGCCUGCAUUGGAAACUGGUUUUCUGGAGUGCUGGAGAGGCAAUCGGAAUUCCGUGUGUAGCGGGGAAAUGCGUAGAUAUACGGAGGAACACCAGUGGCGAAGGCGGAUUGCUGGACAGUAACGGACGCUGAGGCGCGAAAGCGUGGGGAGCAAACAGGAUUAGAUACCCUUGUAGUC